rnacentral:tRNA from 1 species
GUGGUGGCUCAGUGGUAGCACACUUGCCUAGCAUGCAUGAGGUACUGGGCUCAAUUCUCAGCACCACA